rnacentral:lncRNA from 1 species
UGAGGUAUUAUUUAUAUCUGGUGUCAGGUGGGUGCCAGAUUCAUUCUGUUCAGUGUGGAAACCCAGCUGUGCCGGCGCCACCUGUUGAAGAGACUACUGUCCUCGGUGAGCAGGCUCGGUUCCGGAUAAGCAGCCGUGGAGGCAAGCGUAGGUUAUACCUGGACCGGCUGCCGCUCCCUCCGUCCCCUGGACUCACUAGUCUUGUGCAAGGCUGCUCUGGUGUGCUCACGGGAGCUUUGGUAUAGAUUUUGGAAUCAAGAGUCCUCUAACUUUGUUAUUUUCCAAGGUCGUUUUGGCCUUUCAGGGUCUACUGCAAUACCCCACGGGUGUGAGGCUCACCCUCUUCGUUGCCGCAAAGAAGACCGUUGGGAUUUCGGGGUGGGUUGCGCGGACUCUGCAGGUCACGUCGAGUACUAUUGACGUAAUAACAACAUCACGCCUUCCUUCUUACAAACGGGAUGCCUUUCUCCUUGUUUAGAUUUACUUCAUUUCAGCGGUGCUGGUGGUUUUCAGCCUACAGAUGGUUUGCUGCCUUGGUUAGGCUUACUGCUAAGCAUUUUAUUCUUUUAGAUGCUACUGCAAACGCAGCCCUCCCCCACCUGUGACGGGGGUCCCUCCCUCUGGGGUACAGCUCUCAGAGUUGUCCACGCUGAGCUGUACACACUUCAUCACGGUGCAGGUUUCCUGCCCUGGUUCGGGUUCCCGAGGUGGUUUCUACUUGUGAGUCUCUGUUCUGGUAAGUUGUUAUUCUCUGCAUCCUGUGUCUGUCUCUCCAGUCUUGGGGGCAGUGGUUUGUCCCGCUCCUCCCACCCCCAGUGGAUCCACGAAGAGCUGUUAAUUUUUCAGUCUGCUCAGCUUUUUACUUGCUGUUAGGAGAGUGGUGAAUUGGAAGUGGAACUAGAAGCUGGAAUUUCCCAGCUGCCUUUUUGCAAAAAUAGAUCCAAUUUUGCCUUGAAAGAUAUUUUCACUGGAGAGAACUGUGGGUUGACAGCUUUUUCCUUUCGGCACUCUUCCUGGCCCCAUUCAUAUCCAUGAAACGUCAGCCACUAAUUGAAUUGUGAUUCCCCAUAUUUAACAUGUUGGAUUUCUCUUGUCAUUUGAAGAUUUAGUCUUCGUGUUUGGCUUCAGCCAUUUGACGAUGCCUCAGCACAGCCUUGUUUGUGCCUUGGUACUUACCGAGCAUCUUGAAUCUGUAAACUUAUGUUUUUUAUAGAUGGGAAAGUUCAGCCGUAUCUCCUCAAUACUUGUUCUGUCCCAUUACUCAGUUAUGCGUGUGUAAGACCGUUUGAUGCCACCUACUAGAGACUUUGGGCUUCAAUCUUCUUAUUUUUUUAAACCAACUUUCAUGCUUUGUUUUCCCCACUAUGCUUUUUUUGUAUUUACUGAUCUUUAGGAUCACUUAUUCUUUCUUCUGUCAUCUCCAUUUGGCUAUUAAGUGUGUCUAGAGAAGUCUUUAUUCCAGACAUUAGGUUUUUUCAGUUCUAGAAAUUUUCUCUUUUUUUGUUAUUUCUAUUUUCCUGUGAACAUAUUCUACUUCACUGAGAGUAGUUAUAAAAAGCCAUUUUAAA